rnacentral:lncRNA from 1 species
AAAAAAACCUAUACGAAUUAAAAAUGAAACAGAAAUCACAUAGAUUUCACUUACAGAGUGCCAUUUUGCAACCUCUGGCUGAGAAAUCCUCGUAACAUUUUAUGAACCCAGAUUAAAAGACUGAAGGGAUAUAAGGUUGAUGGAAAAUACGUGGGGGAAAGACGUGGGAAAUUGAAUUCAUGGAACUAUGUUAAAUGAUCACUUUAUCAAACAUGUGCCUAAACCUGAUGGCUAUGCCAUCGUGGCCACUUUUAUUGAUUCAUGGCUUGCAACAGUGUUUCAUAAUAUCUCUAGGCUUGUACAAUCUUCACUGGGAUCGUGUGACUGCAGACCCUGGUUUCACGAGCAACUGUUUGACAUAUCUUCUCCAGACAGCAUUUCGCACUUGCAUAUCAGCUGCAGCCUUUCCAAAAGUUGGGGAAAUCCUGCAAAUAAGGAACAUGGCAUCUGAUUCUUGGAAUAACAUUCUC